rnacentral:rRNA from 1 species
GACGAACGCUGGCGGCGUGCUUAACACAUGCAAGUCGAACGGAAAGGCCCUGAUUUUGUGGGGUGCUCGAGUGGCGAACGGGUGAGUAACACGCGAGUAACAUGCCCUUGACUUUGGGAUAACUUCAGGAAACUGGGGCUAAUACCGGAUAGGAGCUCCUGCUGCAUGGUGGGGGUUGGAAAGUUUCGGCGGUUGGGGAUGGACUGGCGGCUUAUCAGCUUGUUGGUGGGGUAGUGACUUACCAAGGCUUUGACGGGUAGCCGGCCUGAGAGGGUGACCGGCCACAUUGGGACUGAGGUACGGCCCAGACUCCUACGGGAGGCAGCAGGGGGGAAUAUUGCGCAAUGGGCGGAAGCCUGAUGCAGCAACGCCGCGUGCGUGAUGACGUCCUACGAGUUGUAAACCGCUUUCGCCUGUAACGAAGCGUGAGUGACGGUAAUUGGUAAAGAAGCACCGGCUAACUACGUG